GGCUUCGAGAGGAGCCAGGGAGACUCAGUUUGGGAACUGGCUGGGAGAGUGAGAAAGAAAGAGUGCUGGGGCGUGCAGAUCACGUUUCACAUCACAUCAGAGCUGUGGAAUUUCCUCUCUUCUGGGGGGAGGCCUGUGAAGAUGAAGUUGGUUUAAGGUUAGUCGGUGAUGAAUAAUAGCCCAAAGGAAACUGAUGGAGGGUGUUACUAAGUGACUGUUGUUUACAAGCAGAGAUUUCGUGGUGGGGAAGGGUGGCGGAAGUCGGGGCCAUCUUCAGUCUGAGUCGUUAACCAAAUUCUGUGACCCGAGAAUGGAGUCCAUGUAUGGAUUUUAUUUGUGUCUGACCCCUGUGGUAUGCAGAGCCCUGAACUGCGGGCUGAGAAGGGGAGCGAAAGGAAUGGGAAGGUAAUUAGAAAAGGCGGGAGAACCUCCUCUGCGGGUGAGGCAUGUGGGGCCCUGUGGGCACAAUCUGCUUUGUGUCCCGGGCAUCCCCGGGGUGGUCCUGGCAGGAUCUGUUUCUGUUCUAGUUAAGCCACGUGCUCUGCACCACACAAUGGUCACCGACCCCGCUCUCCGAGGCCCUUAGCUCCCAAGAGAUGUGUUUAUUUUUUAAAUUCUACACAGAUGAGGAAUCUGAGACGUGGAGAUGGAAAGUAAUUUGCCAGCCUAUGAACCUAUUUGAAAGCACUUCAGUAUCAGUGAUUUCAUGGAAUCCUCACAUCCUCCCCGUGGGAUAAAACUACGUCACAUCCUGCAAGUAUUUGAAAAUAUUUCUUAAGAAUAUCACUGCCUGAUUUUUUGAGCCGCACCACUGCAUGGCCACUGACAGAUGAGUGGUGUAGGUCUGCACCUGGGAACCGAACCCAGGCCGUCGAAGUGGAGCACACCGAACUUAACCACUACACCGCCGGGGCUGGCCCACAUAUGAGAUUUUGAUUUGGACGAGAGCAACUAAGGAAGCAGGCAUCCUGGGGAAGGGGCCUGGAGGAGGCAUCUGGCCUUUAGAGCAACAGCAGGGAUGUUUUGGGACUCAAUUUCCACCAUUGUUGAAGGGAGGGAGGAGACGCAAGUUGCAGAAUUUGUGCUGAUUGAUAGCUGCCAUGCUAGCUUGGCUGGAAAAGUACCUCUGGGUGGUCUGGGCAUCAUUCCUGAAUACUGAGCCUCUGAGCCUGCCUUCCCUUCUGGAUUCUGUAAACCUCUUAGUAUUUUUUAAUAAAUUCCUCUU